UUUGGCUUUUUUAAAAAAAGUGAUAGAGGCCUGUCUGUGAGAGAGGACAUAGUUCCAGAAUUAACCCCGUGCUAGAACAUGGUGUAGAUAUGAAGGUUACAACACACUAAUGAAGAUCAAUGGAUGUCAUGAAAACUUUCCCACAUGAAAAUGCCAACAUCAUUAUAAACAAUGCUUUUUCCUGGGAAUGGUCUCUGUGUCUGAGUCCAAAAAACUUGGAUGAGCUGCUAGUGCUACUUAGGGCACCAGGUUGUAACCAAACCUAGGGUUUAACCAAAUAUGGAUACUUUCAUAUAAAUACAUUUGAACUGAACAGAUCUGUUACACUGUAUAAUUUUGAUUUUGAUUUUUGUUUAUUUUUUUGGAACUUUGCAGAAAAAGUGUACAGGGAAUCUGGUUGAGGUGACUGGUCUGCUUUAUGAUAGGUAUCUUGUGGAAUUCACCAAAAACCUCACACGAGCAAGAGGUUUAUAUUCUUAUUCAGCCAGUAAUGAAUGGUUAGAUAUGAAGCUUGCAAGAUUAAGGAAUACCACAAUGUGUGAUGCAUUUUAUGCAAUAAGAUACAAAAGAUAUGAAUAUUAUAAGUAUGGUUUACUGUGUUAGAUAUAUUGUGCCAUCAGCUAAAAGAAGUCAGAUUAGAUGCAAAUCGUCUAUACCGCUUUAUCUGUAUUCAGGGUCACAAGGGGCCUGGAGCCUAUACCACAAGACUUAGGGCAUGAGGCAGGGUACACCCUGGACAGUGUGCCAAUCCAUCACAAGGUACACACACACUAUGGGCAGUUUGGGAACGCCAAUUAGCCUAAUCAACUGGUCUUUGGACUGUGGAAGGAAACCAGAGAACCCGGAGGAAACCUACCAAGCACAGGGAGAUCAUGCAAACUCCAUGCUCACAGGGACGGGAAUCAAGCCUGGCCGGGAAUCGAACCCGGACAGUGCUAACCACUACACCACUGUGCCACCCAUGCAAUUGUCAGUUUAAAUUUACAUUUUUAAUAGUCAAUUACUGUUAAUAAAUAAGUUUUUGUAAUAAUUUCUAAGUUUUUAACUAUGUGCACUCGCAUUUUAUGGUACUUUCCAAAAUCUGGUACUAUUUACCUGACUUUACCCUACUAAACAGAUACAUUAACAGAUGGCAUUGAAUAUGGCAUUACACCUCUAUCUGGUAUGAACUGAAGAGUGGUUCAUUUGUUUAGGAUAGAAACUCGGCCUCUCUAUAUUUAUAAAUAAGUUAACUAAUUAUGUCUUUAACUUGUUUAUGUAUAUGUUGCAUAUGUUUUUUAAUUCAACUUUAAUUAUGAUAUACAGCUAAUCUAUUUGGUCUGAUUUAAAUAGAUUGAAUUUUGACGCCACACACGUCAACAAAUCUGCUUUAAAUUAAUGUAGAAAAUCAGAUUUGUGACACUCAAUUAAGAAUGUCUGGUGCAAUAGACUUUGUUUACCCAGCAACAUCAGUCACAUUGUCCUAACCACGCACAGCAUAAACAAAAGUCCACCCAUGGAAGGAAAAUUACUUAAAGCUUACUGUAUUUAUUAUUUUAUUUGUUUUAAACACCUUAUAGUUCUUGUUCACCUCACACAGAAAAGCAAGCAUUUAAACAACCAGAAGUUGCUUUUACCUUUACAAUGUUGAUAAUGCCUUGGAGACAAAAGCUAUCUGUCCUCACAUGUCCUCUCUGAGUGGUGACUUAGCUUACGUUACACCUGGAAAUGUCAUGACCUCAUCUUAGCUGAACACGGUUUGACCAUAGUUCUGUUACUCAGACAAGGUGAACACGCAGCCCUCAGGCAUGUACAGGUGUGUGUGUGUGUGUGUUUCUCAAGUAUAUAAAAGUAGAGGGAAAAUGCACUGAUGCAUUCAGACAUUUGUGGUAUUCAUUAGAAUUACUGAAUGAGGUUCAAUAUGUCAAGAGUGUUGUAAUCAUGUAACUGGAAAUAGAACUAGACCUAGUAGUAGCAGUAGUAGUAUAUCACAAAUAUCCCCACAAAUUAACAGUGAAAUUAAUAAAAUUAAGGUAAUAAAAUCUAAAUUAUUAGUCAACAUGUAUGAUUUGUAAAUAAAUGCCAUUGAGAUAAGUUGUGUGGUUAGCAAAUUAUUUGCUCUAGUCAAUAAAAGGGCAAGAGGUUAAAUACCAGAAAUGCCAGAAGGCCACUGUUGAAUUCUUGUUUAUGACUCUUAACCUUUGUCUGCUUAGCAGCAUUUAUAUGCGUUGUGCCACAUUAGAAUAAAAAUGUCAAACAUAAUCAAAUGUACAAACAUAAAUAUAAUGUGCAAUGACUCCAGUAUAUAAUCUGUAAGUAACAUCAGGCAAAAUCCAGCGUCAGCCCAUUAAACCAUAACACACUGUGGAAAUGUU